GUCGGAAACUCUCGUGCUACUUUAUCUUCUUUCUGUCUUCUAGAAUUCCACCACCGCUUUUUCUCGAGCACCUCACGAGUCUCGGAGCCUCAGGUCGGAGAGGAGGCGGUGCGGAGGUGGCAUGGCUUCUAGAGCCGUGACAACCGAAGAGCCAGGGAGCGGCAUCGAGCGGAGGAUGCUGGCGGUGGCCGUGGCAUGGGUCGGGUUCUCCUUCGAUGUCCCGGCCGUUGCCAAGGCGCUCUGGUUCCCUCGUGUUGAUUUGGCCGUCACGCGACAUUGGGAGGGGCUUGGGCUGGAGGCGACGCGGUUUUCAUGGAAGCCGGACGGCGAGCAGGGAGAAGCGUCCACCACGUGUCCGGCGGCGACCAUCAGCGUCAGUGGCAAAAAGCAGCGACACAGGACGGGAGGAUCUGGUGCUUUACCAGAGCGGGACGAAGAGCGCGGCCAAAUCGCCUCCAUUCCAGGUUCACCUCAGCGCCCUUUCUCUCUCUCAGCCGUCGGCAGCGACAAAUCAUGAGGAGCUCGACCUCAGUAGCGACCUCGACCUGCCGUGGUGCCGUCUGGUUCGCCGUGUGGCCUGUCGAUGAACACCACUAUGGUUGCCUGUUAGGGAUCUGGGAACACGACGUCGACUGGAAGCCACCGCCUCCCUGCCGACGGCCAGGGUCCAUCUACUCUGCCUCUGCUACAUCUCACCAUCAGCCCUUCCUUAAUUUGUGCGGAGCCCCUGCUAUUUCUCUCUCAAAUUUGGGCUUUGCUUUUGAUGCCUGAUGCAUAUAGCCAUAUACCAUUGGUCACUAUUAUGAUGGGAAUUUUACACAUGACAAAUUUUCCUUUCAAAAGUACACGUACGGCAAUAUGAAUUCUGAAAUGCGUACAUAAGCAAGGCAUGUAUGUUGGUACAGCUUUAUUGUUGGUUAUUUUGGCAAAUUGCUUCACGAGGCUACCUUUGGUGAUGCUUUACAUACCUGUGUUACCGCCAAGUGUCCACAAGAUAAUCCUGAUUAUGGUUUUACGUUCAGAGUGAUAAUUGUUGUUCCGUUGGUAAUGACAGUCCAUGUGUUUCAGUAAUAUUAGAUAUCAUUUGCCUGAUUUGUCAACCAGGCGAACUGUCGAGGAUAGUCAACAACCUAAUAGGCAGGCAUAGAGUUAAUAAUCUCAGAGUACUGUAUGUAGUAAACAACAUAAUAGGUUCACUCUUAAUCUAUAUAUGUACAAAAUGAAGUUCAUGCCCUGAAUGAUUUUUGAGCAAAAAGUGUAGAAACUGAAUACCAACAUUUAGUCUUCCUUAUGUUCUAUCCUUGAAGAUCCGAAAGAACAAAGUGAGUCUGAUGUUGCAUAGUUAUGUUAAAUGAGUUUACUUGGACAAAAAAUGUAGAAACUGAGUACUAACAUUUGGCCUCCGUUCCGCCGUUCUGUAUAUCGAAGAACAAAGUGGGUCUUAUGUUGUACAGUUAAGUUAUAUAAGUUUAUUGGCAAUGUUGUCACUACCAUUGGAUUAAAAUGCUUUUCAUGUUACCAAAUUUAUGCAGGGUUCAGCCACCGAGCUGAAGUGUCAUGGUUUCGCCAUUCCAGGGUCCCAAGCCAGUAUGUGUUCUCCAGAAGCCAGAAUUUGCUUAUGUAUAUAGCUGGGGUGAUGGCGGUAUGCCAUGCAGUUUGCAUUACCGCAACCGCUGUGCGGACUCCUGGUGUGCACAAAGAUCGCUCAUCUGUCUCUCAAGUAUUUGUAUGUAAUUUUUCAUCUCAACAUUGAGUUUGAUCUACACGAAAUUGGAUAGGCAGCAGACAAACAGUGUAUACUUAUCUGCUGACAGAAUAUAUUAUGUGGUUUAUUUGAACUAAAUCGGAAGAUUCACAAAAAACAUUGGUUCAUCCUGAAGUUACACUCAUACUUGCAGCUUUUUGAAGUAACAGAAGUUCACAAAAAUUAAUAUAACAGUAUAUGUUCAUCCUGAAAUUACUCUUCAAUCUUAUGGUACUAUGCUCAGCUGAUAUUCAGGUAAUUUGCUUCAUCCGUGUACUAUGGUUCUAAAUGUAAUAAUUUUUUCCUUGACUGCAGAUCUCAGUGGUGGUACCGGCAGAUAAGACAUGAAGCUGCAUGAGGCUCUACCAGAGUCUUAUGCCAUUCCUCUGGUCGCAUAUAGUGCACAGCCCUUGAGCGUCUUACAAAGAACUUUGAUGAGGACUCUGUCCGUGCAAGUUCAUCGCAGGGCUGUGUCGGCAUACUAUUUGUAGGCAUGGCUGUUGCUUACUACUCAGGAAACUGUGCUUCAAAAGCACAUCUCUAGCCCGUUCGUACAUAAACAUUUCCAUUCCGGAGGUAUUUGAUAUACAUGCCAGAUACGGGAAUCAGCCAUAUGAAGUAGAAUGGCACGGAUCAGAUGCAAGGGCUGGCCCUGUUGAGAUAACAUUGUAUGCUUUGUCCAAAGAAGAAAGAGAUUUCACUAUGGGAAAGUACUAUAAGAUGACAUUUAAUUCCACAGAGGUCGAGAAUUCUGAUGGCUGCUGUUCAUGACCUGCAAGGUAUGCUGGAAAAAUAUCCCUAAUGGAAAUGCUUACAGAUGCACCUACAACUGCUUCUGCAAAGAAGAGAGGCAUGGGUAAGCAACUAGGUUGUGUACACUGAUGAAACCGUCCCUGCUCAUAUAAACCAGAAAAAUAAAGAUUCUUUGCAGGUAAUAUUGCUAAGCUGACGCUGCCAUCAGAAAGAAACACAAAAAACUGUCUACAGAAAAAUCUUCCAUGGCUUCUCCAUCUGGCGAAUCACCAAAUACAACAGCAGAUAGCAGAGCUUUAGGCACCACACCAAGCAAAGACAUGAUAGAAAAAGGCCGAAUCCAAUGUAGACGAUGUAAGUACAAACUGGAUUUAUCCAUUCUCUCAGUUCCCAGCUGCAUAAGCUUAAAAGGGACACAUUUAUGCCACAAUGUAGAUCGAAUAGCAACAUUUUUUUCUACUGAAGGAUGUCAGCUCUGUGUCUGAGAGAAAGAAGAGCAAGGCCACUGACUCAGAUUCUACAUCGCCUAAGAAACAGGUCAGCAAGGCGCUCUUCCCAUGCCAAUAAAGAAGAUGUCAUUUGCCAGUAAGCAUAAACCUCAAAACAGCGGUUACCCAGAAGCAAUGUAGUUGUAAGAAAAUACUCGACAUUACCUUUCUCUUCGCAUUCGACAUCCGCACAUAUCCUCAGUUCCAAGAACAGGUCAAUUCAGACCGAGAAGAGAAAGAUUGGUUAGGGGCAGAUUUCAUAGACUACUACUGAUCUGCUAUGUGUAAUAUUAUGGAGCUACCAACUACUCUAGACAAUAUGUGCCUUUGAUGCAUUGUGGAUGACGGAGUAGUUGUGACCCAUCUGUGUGUAAUAACAUAUCCAAUGUUCCACAAUAGCACGAAGAUAUCUACCACUCCAGCAGCAACAAGCCCUCCUGCUAUGUCUUCAGUUCAGAUCCAUCACUCAGAUGUCUCGCCACGGGCGCGGCGUGCCGCCGCGCCAAUGCCUCCUAGAGUCCUAGUACUAACUCAAAGUUUAUGAACUAACAAUUCAGUGGACAUCUAACGUGUUGUAUUCAUCUAAUUCAAUAUCAAUUCCCCAAUUAUGUACUCCCUCCGAUACAGAAUUGUACUAAAUCACCAUACACUUAUUAUUUUUUUCCGAUAAGGAACACUUUAUUA